GAUCCCUUUCUCAGGUUGUUGGCACGACGAUUACAGGAUCAGACUGACAACACACACCCACACGCUGCGCAUUAUUACUCUGACAGAGAAAAAGCGGCCAAGUUCCGACAGCUACCCGAACGCGCGAUACAGCUCUUAUUUGUAUAACAGCGCUAUAUGUUCUCAUAUAAGUGCGAGUUUAUACAUUGAGUGGACCUUACCAUCUCCCGGGAUUCAAUGUUAUGUUCUAUGCGUGGCCAUUCGCUGGAGUAGAACGGGGGUUUUGGAAACAGCUCUGCCGCGUUGGUUAUUGCGCCCCCAGCUAUAACUGUGGACCUGCCCUAUGGAAUUUCUUCAUAUUUUCAGACAGCGGCUUUGGGAGGUACUGUUUGACUUGAAAAUGAUGGUUGGAUCAGUUGGCCAUUGUUCUGCAGGAUAGCUAGAGUAGGACUAAAGCCUCAGCCCGCAGCCUAGGGGCAUUAAAAAAGAGCUCCCUGUCAAUCUCAAAAGGGAAGUCAGAAUUGCAUCGUUCACGGCAACGGUAUCCUGUGGAGAGGAAGGAAACGCGUGACUAUGACGUAAGGUAAAAACGUGAUGAGCUGGCCAAUGGGAGGCAGAAGGGGGCGUGGUCUGCUGAGCGGAAGAACCUGUCCGGUCCCAGAAUGCCCCGGUUUCUAAGACCAAGGGGGCUUCUUUUCCUCGUCUUGUGACCAGGUGUUUUGUUUGGCAAAUUGUUUUGCUAGCGCUUCCAACACCGUUCACCUUAUUGUUAUUAAUCAGAUUUUUGUUUGUUUAAGUAUUUUUCCUUUGUAAUGUUAAUACGUUGUUUUUCAGUUUUAAAGAAAACAGUUGUGUAUCUCCACUGUGCUGUGUCUGUGACCGACUGUAACAUACGGCCUCAAAAUGAUCACAGAACUGAAUCAACACCUCUGUGACCCAGUGUCAAGAAAAACUGUACACUGUGAGUUUUAAAAAUCUGAUAUCUGUAGCAGGGCCACCAUUCAGAAACCACUUGUAUCCCUGGCAAAUGCACAAAGAUGCACAACUUGGUGUACAAGGAGCAGAAAACCCAACCUAGACCCUUUAGAAAAUAAAAAAGUAAUACACUCUCCCAUCAUAAGGUCCCCAUAUUCCAAGAUGAUGAUGUGCUAUUAGGAAGAGGAGGAGCCCUAGUCCCCUGUUGGUUUCUCUUCCUUUCUUUCUAUUAAAAUUGCUGGGGACCCAAGUGGAGGGGUUGAAAGUGUGUAUGCCCACAGUGGUGAUCUAUUCCAAUCAAUUUGCCCAGACAAACCUGUGCAAAUGAAUUAAUUUUGUUUUGGAGAGACCGAUCGCAAGGACACGGAAGCACUAUGCUCUUUUGAAGAGAUUCUCCAUUUUUUGACUUUCGUGUUUUUUUUGGAGUCCAGCCUUGUUGUUCUUUCCAUAAAACAACAUGCAAAAACAAAACCUGAAGGAAUCAAAACAAUCCCAGCCAGCCAGCGGAGAGCAAAGACUGGAAAGAGCAGGGCUGACUUUUACAGAGGCGUGUGGUAUACUCCGGAAAGCCCACUUCCACAGUUUGGUUCCAGCUAUCUAUUUCCUAUCCUGUCCUCUUCUCUCCUCUCUGUUUGUAAUUAGGGCACUUCAGGUUAGAGCCCCAUACACACCGCUAAAUAGAUUUGUGAGUGGUUUCAUGAACAACCAUGAUGAUGUUAAACGCUUUCAUAGCCUUCACAGUCACCAGAUCUAAACAUCUAGAUUUCCACCUCUUGCACCCCUCAAAUGGCUGGUUGGUUUUCUUUGCUGGGUCCCAGAAAAAUAUCAGCCAGACAGAGGAUGCACAACCCAGUUCAAUAGUACACACGGUUUUGUUUUAUAUACACACGGAAGGCAGUGAAUCAUCAUACUGUCUCAUCAAACAUUCAGUUAAAUGUCCUUAACUCUACUUAAUAUGGUUCCUAUGAAUUUUUAAUAAGACAAAUAUGUCAGUGCUCGUUGCAUAUGGCCACUGAUAAAAACUGCUUGGAUGGAUGACUAAGCAUAUUUUGCAUGCUUUUAUCAUUAAUAUGGCUCACACACUCGACUUGUUCAUAACUUGCCCAAGCUCUGGCCUACUUAUCUAUGCCUUACACACUUCAAAGACAUCAACACUCUGCUGUACCAAAACACACUCCAAUCCACUAAUGCACACUUAUUAUAACCUAUAACCAAUUGCUUGUUUUUACGAUUAAUCAUUACCGUCUUGAAGAAUGGUCCAGAAUCCGACUACGCGCAGAUAACUUUAAAAAACUUAAUUCCAAACACUGAACCUGUUCUGAAGGCAAAGGGUGGCCCUACUCCUUAUUAGGUGUUUCCUAACGUUGGGAUGAGAGGUUAAAAUCGACCCUUAUCUCAUAAUAGAGAGGCAAUCAAGUCAGGAAAACACUUGAUCCACUUGUAAGGGUCUUUAUUUCAGCGGAAAGAGUACGCCUGCCAACAGAGUCAACUCUUUGCUGAAAAGCGUUUCUUACAGUGAUCACUUGUGCCCUCUAAGAGGGACUGUGUGUGCCAGCAUCAAGGACAACAGAAAGGAACCGAACAGAACACAACAGAAACUUGUUCUCUUAGCCCCUUUCUGUCCUGGUUUUGGCUGAAAGCUCAUUGCUGUAACAUCAUGACUGGUGAGAUAUACUGGCAUCCAGUUCAGAUGAUCACAGAGGUGUGAAAAAGUACUCACCCCUUUCCUGAUUUUCUCUAUUAUUGCAUAUUUGUCACACUGAAUGGUAUCAGAUCAUUUGGCAAACUGUAAUAUUAGACAAAGGGAACCUGAGUAAACUCAAAACACAUUUUGAAAUUAAUAUCUCAUUUAUUUACUGAAAAAAGUUAUCAAGGACCCAAACCCCGUGUGAAAAAGCAAUUUCCCCCUUGGGACCCAACUUUACAUGGGCUGAUCUUGAUAGGCGGGUAUGGUUGUCCCCCCCUCAUGACUGCACAGGCUCUCCAUCCCUGUCCUAGUAGCUAUGCAGCCAUAUAUUACUCCUGGCGGGGUCCCCCCAAUUCAUACUGCUGCCACUUUACCCACUGUCUGUUCUAUCACAAAUUCCCUAACCGCCAUUUCUACCCUCUUCCCCACGCUGCCGGCGGGGCUCUUGCCCCAAUCUUUGAGAGUGCUUCGAGAGUCGUCUGGUCUCCCCCACCACUGCCACCCAGCCCCACCCAUCAUCGGAGCCACAUUAUAUACCUUGAGCUGACCAGAGGAGGAUGGGUUUCCUCCUUGAGCCUGGUUCCUUCCGAGGUUUCUUCCCAUCUGCCACAGGGAGUU